UAUGCCUUCUUAGGGAGACCAGUGCUGAGAAAGUCUCCUGCUUGUCUCCUCUGCUAUUUUGGCUUUUUAACAAAGAAGUUGGAUUGUCCCUGCAUUGCGCUGAAUUGCUUUUUUCUGGCUUGAU